rnacentral:rRNA from 1 species
GAUGAACGCUGGCUACAGGCUUAACACAUGCAAGUCGAGGGGAAACGACGGGGAAGCUUGCUUCCCCGGGCGGCGACCGGCGCACGGGUGAGUAACGCGUAUCCAACCUGCCUCUGACUGAGGGAUAACCCGGCGAAAGUCGGCCUAAUACCUCAUGGCAUCGUCUGCGGGCAUCCAACGACGAUUAAAGAUUUCAUCGGUCAGGGAUGCGGAUGCGUCUGAUUAGCUUGUUGGCGGGGUAACGGCCCACCAAGGCGCCGAUCAGUAGGGGUUCUGAGAGGGAGGUCCCCCACAUUGGAACUGAGCCCCGGCCCCAACGCCUACGGGCGGCAGCAGUGCGUAAUAUUGGUCAAUGGGCGGGAGCCUGAACCGGCCAAGUAGCGUGCAGGAUGACCGCCCUAUGGGUUGUAAUCUGCUUUUAUGCGGGGAUAAAGUGAUGGACGUGUCCUUCAUUGCAGGUACCGCAUGAAUAAGGACCGGCUAAUUCCGUG